UUGGUAUAAUAAAUUUAACAUUUUACCAAAAAAAAAGAAAAAAAAAAAAGAAUAACAAAAAAAUCCAGAAAUUGUCGCCGGAAUCGAGAGGCGGAGGCCGUAGUUAGAGAGAUUUAGUGGAAAAUUUACGCGACGGCUUAGCUCUUUUCCGGAGGAAACUGUACCAUCUUUGUUGAUCUUCUAAAAACUAUACUCGGUUGUGGUUUGCGUAGAGUAGAUACAAUCUAUGGACUAUAAAACUCAUGUGAACUAUAUAUCGUAAGUUUGAUUCAAAAGACGAGCCAUGAAGCUUUGCCAUGUUGAAUUCUUUGCCAUAAUCUCUUCAGGAGCUGCUCUUCUUAAGUGUAUCGAUGAACCUUUCCUGUAAAAAAUCGUUGCCCGAGAUGUAGUUAAGAAAAUCGUUGAAACUAAAUUCCCCGUAGGCUGCUGUAUUGUUUCCAUCGAGUAGCUCAGGUGCUGGACUUAUCUUCUUGUGCAAAGGGAAUACAUACCCAGUUCUUGUUGGCAUCCAUUAUCUGGAGUCCCUCGCUACUUUGAAGUAAGAUGGUCAGCGAGCCGUAGUCCGAGUGUGGUGGCAUUCCCAAGGUAACUUCAGGUUCAGGACAUGGUGGAUAACAGUUCACUGCCAUGACUUGUGAGCCUUCUUCAGUUUGUUCUUCAUGGAGGAUUAGAUGGCCACAUAUCGAUCCAUUUUGAUAGAGGAUAAGAGUAAUGUUUAAUGAAAUCUCUCCAGUAGUGAACUUUAUCUGUUGAAUGGUUGAUGCUUGUGCCAUAUCUUACUGGCUGGUGAACGUUUGAUGACACCAUAAGCAUCUUCUCCUCCACAGGCUUUGUUGAUAUCAUGGAUUGCACGUGACCGAAACAAAGGUUGCUGUAAAAGAGAGAGAUCAAUGACAGGAAGUGUUGUAUCAUCUCUGGUGCCUAUGCCUGAACCAAGAGCUGGCCUUUGCGAUGGUGGAAGAACGUAACGAUCAGGCACUUGAGGCACACCUGAAUUGGUAAGUGCCAUUGCACUUGUAAAGGAAUCAUCAAGCAAGCUCUUUUUUGUUUCCUCCAUUUUCUGUUUGCUUCCGUUUCUGAUAUUUGCUGCUUACUAAAGAGUAUGCAACAUGCAUAACGUGUAUUUAUACAUAUAUUAUGAAGUCUUCUAGAAGAUAAUUUUAAUUAGUUUCCAUUUGAA